rnacentral:rRNA from 1 species
AGGCUUCCAAGAAAAACCUCUAAGCUUCAGAUUAUAAGAACCCGUACCGUAAACCGACACAGGUAGUUGGGAUGAGAAUUCUAAGGUGCUCGAGAGAUUCAUGGCUAAGGAACUAGGCAAAAUAGACCUGUAACUUCGGGAGAAAGGUCGCCCUCAGUAAUGAGGGCCGCAGUGAAAAGGUCCAGGCGACUGUUUAUCAAAAACACAGGGCUUUGCUAAAUUGAAAGAUGAUGUAUAAGGCCUGACACCUGCCCGGUGCUGGAAGGUUAAGAGGGGAUGUUAGCUUCGGCGAAGCAUUGAAUCGAAGCCCCAGUAAACGGCGGCCGUAACAAUAACGGUCCUAAGG